rnacentral:tRNA from 1 species
CGGGGUGUGGCGCAGUUCGGCUAGCGCGCCUGCUUUGGGAGCAGGAAGCCGGAGGUUCAAAUCCUCUCACCCCGA